UACGUAGGGUGCAAGCGUUGUCCGGAUUUAUUGGGUUUAAAGGGUGCGUAGGCGGCCCUGUAAGUCAGUGGUGAAAUACUCCAGCUUAACUGGAGGGGUGCCAUUGAUACUGCAGGGCUUGAGUUAAGUUGAAGUUGGCGGAAUUGACGGUGUAGCGGUGAAGUGCUUAGAUAUCGUCAAGAACACCGAUAGUGAAGACAGCUAACUAAACUUUUACUGACGCUGAGGCACGAAAGUGUGGGGAUCAAACAGG
rnacentral:rRNA from 1 species